rnacentral:lncRNA from 1 species
AGAAAAACAAACAUUGCAAUACAGAAAAUGAAAGUGAUAUUUGGUGUUGUUUUACUCUUUGUGGUUAUUCAUGGUUUAGAGGUGAUGAUUGGACGUCGGGGUUAUGUCGAAUAUAAAUUAGAACAAGGUUACUUAUUAGCUACUAUACC